rnacentral:rRNA from 1 species
AAAACAUUCUACCGCCCAAGUAUGGGAGACAGAAAAGGAAAAAGGAGCCAUAGAACUAGUACCGCAAGGGAACGCUGAAAGAGAGAUGAAACAGCACAGUGAAGUAGAGUAAAGCAGAGGUUAAACCUCGUACCUUUUGCAUCAUGAAUUAGCAAGCACAAGCAGUCAAGGAGCCCCAUAGCCUGCCACCCCGAAACUAAGUGAGCUACUUCAAGACAGCCUAUUAUAGGGCCAACCCGUCUCUGUGGCAAAAGAGUGGGAAGAUCUUCAAGUAGAAGUGACAGACUUACCGAACUUAGUUAUAGCUGGUUGUCUGGAAAAUGGAUAUAAGUUCAGCCCCACCCCUUCUUACCUCAAAAGCAAAACAUGCUGGUCUGAUAAAAAGAAGUCGGGGGAGUUAGUCGAAGGGGGUACAGCCCCUUCGAAAAAAGACACAACUUCCUAAGGAGGAUAAAGACUAAGACCAAGGGAUGACAUCUCAGUGGGCCUAAAAGCAGCCACCUGCGUAGAAAGCGUUAAAGCUCAAGAACAACUCAACCCGUAUAUUCCAUCAAAAUAAUCUGAACCCCCUGCAAACUACCAGACCUAUCUACUGAAAGUGGAAAAGAUCAUGCUAGUAUGAGUAAUAAGAAGGCCCCGGCCUUCUCCCCGCACACGUGUACCUCGGUACGGACAACCCACCGAGAAUUAACGGCCCCAAGUAAAGAGGGUAAUGACAAGCACCCAAUCAACUGGAAAAGCAUUCAAACCCAGCCGUUGACCCCACACUGGAGUGCCCGAAGGAAAGACUAAAAGAAAAAGAAGGAACUCGGCAAACCAACCCAAGCCUCGCCUGUUUACCAAAAACAUCGCCUCUUGCCCCUACACAGUAUAAGAGGUCCAGCCUGCCCAGUGACAGUAUGUUCAACGGCCGCGGUAUUUUGACCGUGCUAAGGUAGCGCAAUCACUUGUCUUUUAAAUGAAGACCUGUAUGAAAGGUAUGACGAGGGCUUAACUGUCUCCUUUUUCCAGUCAAUGAAAUUGACCUCCCCGUGCAGAGGCGGGGAUCACAACACAAGACGAGAAGACCCUGUGGAGCUUAAGACACCACCGCGGCUCAUGUCAAUAUCCCUCCCCCGGGAAAGAACUGAGUGAGAACCGCCCGCAUGUCUUCGGUUGGGGCGACCCUGGGGAAAACAAAUCCCCCAAGUGGAUUAGGAGCACUAGAGGUAACGGACUCUCACCCCACAGCCAGCCUCCUAAAAACUAGAGCCCCAACUCUAGUUAACGAGACACUCGACCCAGAAUGAUCCGGGCAACCGAUCAACGAACCAAGUUACCCCAGGGAUAACAGCGCUAU